AGUUUUUGCAAAUUGGAGUUUUUUUUUGUGUUGCAUGUGCAGUUCUUGAGGGCAUGCCAUUGGUAUCUUCAGUCUUCAAUAGUGAGAAGCAAGGCAUAUUAAGAUAGUGCAACGUUUAUCUUUCAAAUUUUGGUGAUCUGUGUUCCUGUUCUUAUUCCUACGGGCAUGUCUAUAUGUUCCAAGUUUCUGCUUUUGCAUAUUUUAACAUUGAGGUUAUGAUGUGAUGUAUGGAAGCCAUGCAUCACUAAUUCAUGCAUCCACAAUAUGAUUCCUACAAAUAAUGUUUGAAGCCGUAUCUCAAUUUGGAAUGUUCUUUCCUGCAAAUUUGUAUUUAAGAAAUUGCUAGGUGUUUCAACAUUUUCUCCACUUUUGUCUUUCUAGUCCUUUCUCUUUUUGGCAUAAUACUAACUCUAUUGGUAUUAUCACAUUAAUGUGUGAGGCACCUGAUUACUAUUCUUGUUCAGAUAUGUAUAGUAAGCACCUGUAUGAUUGCGCUUUAGUCUCUGCUCUGCGGAAAGCUAUGCCAUAGUGGUAUUGGAGCAUAAAUUUUCAUGUCCUUUGGUUGCUUUCUUGUUCCUAAUAUCUAUGAUAACAUCAGUUGAUUGACAGCUAAUCAAGUUGUUAAUGCACACAUAUUUCCAUGUGAAUCCUAAACUAUCAUUUUUGAUCAGGUUGGUGGCUACCUUGAUUUUGACUUUUGAAGCAGUGGAAUUCUGUACAUCAUUGUCUUCCUUGAUAAUACUUCUGUGCCAAUGCCCUUAAGAUAUGUUUCCUUGGCAUGGAUUAUUUUCAAUUUUCAAUGAGCUUGGAUACCUUGGAGAACUUAAAUGGCUUCUCAGAGAAUUGUAAAUUAGCACAUGUGCUUAUCUCAAUUGCACAUUUUUCAAUUUCUUAUUAA